UUUUUUUUUAAUUACAAAAGUAAAUAUAUAAUAUAAUAUUUGUUGCUGCCUUGUUCUAUAUAAAUGUUUCUAACAUGCAGGUAACAUUUAUAUAUGUAUUAGUUUGAAUAAAUCAUUUUAGUAAAGUUACAUUAUAGGCAGGAAUGUUUGACUGGAAAUAUAAACGAUGUUGUACAUAAUGCAGAUAGCUUAGGCAAAAAAGAGAUUGGUGAAAUGGAGAAUGAGACUAACUAGGGUGAAAAAAAAUGAAUAUUAAUAUGUGAAUGGUACUUUGUUUAACAUCUACCUGUUUCUACAGAUACAGUACAGACGCAUUUAUAAAUGGGCUUGAUGUUUUUUUGAAUUAAAUAUGUUGUAUUGA
rnacentral:lncRNA from 1 species